AUUGAACGCUGGCGGCAGGCCUAACACAUGCAAGUCGAGCGAGCGGUGGACGGGUGAGUAAUGUAUGGGGACUGCCUGAUAGAGGGGGAUAACUUCUGGAAACGGUGGCUAAUACCGCAUACUAUCGGAUAACCAAUAUGGGAUUAGCUAGUAGGUGGGGUAAAGGCUCACCUAGGCGACGAUCUCUCGUUGGUCUGGGAGGAUGGUCAGCGCCACUGGUACUAUGGCGCGGCCCAGACUCCUACGGAGGCAGGAGUGGGGAAUGUUGCACAGAGGGCGAAAGGCUGAUACAGCCAUGCCGCGGGUAUGAAGAAGGCCUUAGGGUUGUAAAGUACUUACAGCGGGGGGGCGUUACCCGCAGAAGAAGCACCGGCUAACUCCGUGCCAGCAGCCGCGGUAAUAC
rnacentral:rRNA from 1 species